CCAUCGAAAAUAUCGAUGUAGAAAACUUCGAUACUUGAUAUAUCGCCAUCACUAUACCAUUAAUUCCCCAUCACUUGAAUUAAAAGCGUGGGAUAAGACUGUCAGGAUUUUGGUGUUGGUAGUGUUGUAGAGAAAUGGAUAAGUUUUUAAACAGCAAGGACAAUGGCGAAGAUUGCGACGCGGAUAAGGAAAAUGGAGAGGCUUGUCUCAAGCCGCAGCAAGUAGAUAUGCUGCUCUUCAUAAACAAAAAUGAUUGGACGAAGUAAAUGAUCUUAUUAAAUAAUAUAAUCUUUGUUA